rnacentral:rRNA from 1 species
CUCAGGAUGAACGCUAGCGGCAGGCUUAAUACAUGCAAGUCGUGGGGCAGCAUGAGUAGCAAUACUUGAUGGCGACCGGCAAACGGGUGAGGAACACGUACACAACCUUCCUUCAAGCGGGGAAUAGCCCAGAGAAAUUUGGAUUAAUACCCCAUAAUAUAUUUGAUAAGGCAUCUUAUUAAUAUUAAAGCUUCGGCACUUGAUGAUGGGUGUGCGGCUGAUUAGAUAGUUGGCGGGGUAACGGCCCACCAAGUCUACGAUCAGUAGCUGAUAUGAGAGCAUGAUCAGCCACACGGGCACUGAGACACGGGCCCGACUCCUACGGGAGGCAGCAGUAAGGAAUAUUGGACAAUGGACGAAAGUCUGAUCCAGCCAUGCCGCGUGAAGGAUUAAGGUCCUCUGGAUUGUAAACUUCUUUUAUAUGGGACGAAAAAAGGGCAUUCUUGUUCACUUGACGGUACCAUAUGAAUAAGCACCGGCUAACUCCGUG